rnacentral:rRNA from 1 species
CCUACGGGAGGCUGCAGUGGGGAAUAUUGGACAAUGGGCGAAAGCCUGAUCCAGCCAUGCCGCGUGUGUGAAGAAGGCCUUCGGGUUGUAAAGCACUUUCAGUGGGGAAGAAAGCCUUGGGGCUAAUACCCUCGAGGAAGGACAUCACCCACAGAAGAAGCACCGGCUAACUCCGUGCCAGCAGCCGCGGUAAUACGGAGGGUGCGAGCGUUAAUCGGAAUUACUGGGCGUAAAGCGCGCGUAGGCGGUCUGAUAAGCCGGUUGUGAAAGCCCCGGGCUCAACCUGGGAACGGCAUCCGGAACUGUCAGGCUAGAGUGCAGGAGAGGAAGGUAGAAUUCCCGGUGUAGCGGUGAAAUGCGUAGAGCUCGGGAGGAAUACCAGUGGCGAAGGCGGCCUUCUGGACUGACACUGACGCUGAGGUGCGAAAGCGUGGGUAGCAAACAGGAUUAGAUACCCCUGUAGUC